rnacentral:misc_RNA from 1 species
UAAAAAAAAAAAACUACAAUAAAACUUUGUGCUAUUUCAAUCAGAUUAGCAACAUCAGUAAAAAGAUUAAUUUGAUCUCUGGCAUGCGGACAAAUCAAGAUCACUUAUUACAAUGGUCAAAGCAUAAAGUUCACUUUUAGUUACAAUUUAUAUACUAACUGCCAAAAGAACCAGCUUCUUGUUGAAAUAAAUUUUAACUAAAAUCAGGUAGGAAAAUUUAAACACGCGAACAUUCGUAAGAAAAAAAAUCAGGGUACAGCAAAUUUUGGUCCCCCUUUUAAAUUCAACAUUUUAGUCCUUGGAUUUUAUAAAUAUCAAAAGCUGGUCAUUUUUCAGGGAGUUUUAUGACAUUCCCACUAGUGAUUAUUAUAAGAAU